GAAACUUAUCUAUAUUUCAGGUGAUACCUAUAUCCUUGAAGAUGCUACAGUUAAGAGCAAUAUUACGGUUGAGUUGACUCCUUGCAGCCACCGAAGUACUUCCCUAUAUAACCAUCUCAUGUGCAACUUCCGGAAGGAGAGCAACCUUAAAAAAGAGGAAGGCUAGUUUCUUCAGAAAGCUGAAUGAGAUCACAACUUUAUGCGGGGUUAUUGCAUGUGCUGUUAUUUACAAUACUUCUGAUACCAAGGUGGAUGUGUGGCCUUCCCAUAGGAAGCAUUUUAUGUACUCGAAAAAUUCAAGAAUUUACCUGAAGAAAGGCAAGGUAAGUUCAUGGUGGAUCAAGAAUCCUUUCUUAAGAACAAUAUAUCCAAGCUGAACAGACAAUUGGAAAAAGCGAAAUUUAAGAAUCAAGAACUUGAUGAGAAGCUGCUUUUGAUUGAAUACCUGAAACUGGAAGGUAAGAAUUUUCUUGAUCCUGGUCGUCUUGAAAGUUUGAUCGGACUUGAUCAUCAAUUGGAUAAAAGAAUUGAUUUCACUACUAAGCGGAUUGAGUUCUUCGAGGGUGUGGGGCGCAACCAAGUUGAUGCGGGAGUUGAUUCUGAUGAGAUGGUGGCUAUUUUGGUGUCUGGAGGUGUAGUAAUUCAACCAAUUCAAAAUAAACUUUGUGAGCAGAGAGCAUAGUAUUGAUGAUACAGGAUUAUGACUCUUUGAACGGCUUACAAGGGAAAAUCACUCGUAAGAUCACACAGUAUGCCGCUGUUCAUUCCGAAGAUUAAUUGCCUUGUAUGGAAGAACUAACGGCUUCAAAUGAUCGAAGGCUAGUCCUUUCUUGUAGGCAUAUUUUAACAGUAGAAGGUUCACUGAGAAGGUACAGAAUCUUUGAUGUUUGCAUUCUUUACACAUGAGCCAAUUUUUUGGUUCAGUAAAACAAGCAUUCUUUUGGUCAAUGACACAUCUCAACAUCUUUUAUUUGGUUACUAAACGGGAUCGAUCCAAGAAUGAUUCUAAAUGAGAGUAAGCCUUGACGUUACGAACAUGUUGCUCCUCUGUGAAAUAUGCUGAAACAGCCCAUUUGCAAAAGUGAAACAACCUAUUAGCAAAAGUGAAGACAGACUGCCUACAAUAGACGUUACCCAACCCUUGCAAUGCUGAGAGCCUUGUUAGUUUAGGGUGUUGAUUCGUUCACACGCAAUCUGUGUUAGUAUCUUGACUAAAAUGAAGGAUCUGAUACCCUCAUCCAGGCGAAAACGAAAGGAAAAACACAGAAGAUGUAGCCAGCGUUAGUUCAUGUAACUUCACAUAAGAACAAGUGCAGCAUUCUGACUUCAUAUCUAUCAUUAUAACUAUGGAACAAGUAUUGUAUCGAAAGUUACCAAAAAUAUCAACUUUACAAACGCAAAAAAAAGAACAGCAUUAAAACACAUAAUUAUCUGCGACAAGCAAAGAGAUUCUCCGAAUCCAAGUCCUUAUCAACAACAUGAACUGGGGAGGUGCUGGGCAAGAUACACAAGAUGCCAGCUAAGAGCCAUUAGUGACGCGAUGUUGAGGAAUGAAGAAAAUUUAUUUAGCUUCUUCAGCCUCUCACGCAUCUCGUUAAGCCUCUCAAUAUCAGGCUCAACCACCUGUUGCUCCCUCCUCGAGACUUGUGGAGGCGUCGUGAUUGAGUGUUCACCUUCAGUGGUAGUCUGCUGCUGCUGCU
rnacentral:sRNA from 1 species